GUGGGGAAUAUUGGGCAAUGGACGCAAGUCUGACCCAGCAACGCCGCGUGAAGGAAGAAGGCUUUCGGGUUGUAAACUUCUUUUGUCAGGGAAGAGUAGAAGACGGUACCUGACGAAUAAGCCACGGCUAACUACGUGCCAGCAGCCGCGGUAAUACGUAGGUGGCAAGCGUUGUCCGGAUUUACUGGGUGUAAAGGGCGUGCAGCCGGGCCGGCAAGUCAGAUGUGAAAUCUGGAGGCUUAACCUCCAAACUGCAUUUGAAACUGUAGGUCUUGAGUACCGGAGAGGUUAUCGGAAUUCCUUGUGUAGCGGUGAAAUGCGUAGAUAUAAGGAAGAACACCAGUGGCGAAGGCGGAUAACUGGACGGCAACUGACGGUGAGGCGCGAAAGCGUGGGGAGCAAACAGGAUUAGAAACCCCGGUAGUCC
rnacentral:rRNA from 1 species